UACAGAGGUCUCAAGCGUUGUUCGGAUUCAUUGGGCGUAAAGGGUGCGUAGGUGGCGCCGUAAGUCGGGGGUGAAAUUUCGGAGCUUAACUCCGAAACUGCAUUCGAUACUGCGGUGCUUGAGGACUGGAGAGGAGACUGGAAUUUACGGUGUAGCGGUGAAAUGCGUAGAUAUCGUAAGGAAGACCAGUGGCGAAGGCGGGUCUCUGGACAGUUCCUGACGCUGAGGCACGAAGGCCAGGGGAGCAAACGGG
rnacentral:rRNA from 1 species